GCGCGCCCUCCCCGCUUUUCAAUUGGCCACGGCGCCAACUCGGGCGCCCAAUCAGAAGGGGCCGGAGCCAAGCCAACUCGCCGCGGGGAGGGAGAGAGAGAGAGAGAGGGAGGAAUCUGUAUCCGCAGCGGCGGCAGCUCUCUUUAAUGACAGUCUACUUCCAAGGAACUCAAGCCUCAACUGACUUCUAGCUUCUAAGGGGACGCCCAGAUGUUUUGAUGUUUUUACCAUCCUUGUGGGAGGCUUCUCUCAUGUCCCUGCAUGGAGCUGGAGCUGAUAGAGGGAGCUCAUCCACGCUCUCCCCGGGUGGGAUUUGAACCUGGCAGCCUUCAGGUCAGCAACCCAACCUUCAAGUCACAAGGCUUUUAUCCCCUAGGCCAUCGGAGGCUCCACGCUUCUAUCAUUGACUUUAGUACUUUAACAGACUCAAGCCUCAAUUGACUUCUAGCUUCUAACAUUGGCUUUGGUGCUUAAACAGACUCAAGCCUCAACUGAUUUCUAGCUUGUAACAUUGGCUUCGGUGCUUAAACAGACUCAAGCCUCAACUGACUUCUAGCUUCUAACAUUGGCUUUGGUGCUUAAACAGACUCAAGCCUCAACUGACUUCUAGCUUCUAACAUUGGCUUUGGUGCUUAAACAGACUCAAGCCUCAACUGACUUCUAGCUUCUAACAUUGGCUUCGGUACUUAAACAGACUCAAGCCUCAACUGACUUCUAACUGUAAUCCUUUUAAAACUGAACAUUCUAAACAGUCACUGAACCAGCCACAUGGUCUGCGGCCACUCCCACUGCUUUAAGUAUAUAAAGCUAAGAAAACUGCAAACUAAAGAAUAUAUACGUUUAAGGAAAUAAACCGACACAUUACAAAACAGACAAACAUCAAAUAGAGGAGGCUUGAGAAGGUUGCUAUCUCCAACAGCCCUUCUCAACCAAUCAAGCCAACUCUAAUAGUCCCAUCUUCAUACUUUGGUCUUCAAAAGUUUCCUUCUUUGGUUGAAAAUGUCUGUUGUCAUUUCCUGUGUUGCUGUCUCCAACAAUUCCACAGUGUAGAUGUACCCGUAAAAGGACCACAGCCUGUGAAAUUAGUUCAACUCUGGGAGAAGUGAGUUAAUUCUCAAAGUCGUCUUUGGAUACAUCUACACUUGAGAAUUAACGCAGUUUGACACCUGCUAUGUCUCAAUGUGAUGGAAUCAUGGGAGCUGCAGUUUUACAAAGUAUUUCGCCUUCUCUGCCAAGGAGUGCUGGGCACCCCGCCAAACUGCAAAUCCCACAGUUUCCUAGCAUUGAACCAUAACACAUGAAGUUAACUGUGUUCGUUCUACAGUACAGAUGUACCAGGUAUCCUUUCCAACUGCUGAAGUUCUCACCUUGCUCUUUCCCAUACCGGAAGAUAUACAUUGGGAAUGUUCAUUAAUGUCAUCGUGCUGUUCCUAAAUACAGCCUGUCCUUCCUUGGAGUCUGCAUACAGAGAUUCCACCAGCCAUGGCUUGAAAAUAUAUUUUGUGUAUGUAUGUGUUUGGAAACCUUGUAUAAACCUUGUAUAAACCAUAUAAGAGACACCAUCUUCUUGUAAUGGGACCUGAGCAUCCAUGGGUUUUGGGAUUUCUUGGGCCCUUGAUCCAAACCCCAGCUAAUACCAAGGUCCUACUGCAGUCACCAAGGGCUCUUCCAAAGCCCUUUCACACAGCCAUACAACCCAGAAUAUCAAGGCAGAAAAUCCCACAAUAUCUGCUUUGAAUUGAGUUAUUUGAGUCCAUGCUGUCAUCUAUUCCAGUUCAAAGCAGACAAUGUGGGAUUUUAUUCAGCUAUGUGGUUUUCUGCUUUAAACUGGGUUAUAUGAGCCCACACUACCAGAUAAUGUGGGAUGAACAGAAAACCUGGUAUAAGAUCCUGGGAUAUAGGGCCUGUCUGGAAGGGCCCCGAGGCAGCAGUAGAAACUAGCCUUUCAGAUGUUACUGGACUGCAACUCCCACCACCCCUCACCAUUGACUCUCCUGGUUAAGGGAGUUUGGGAGGAUGCAGGAUUCCCACCAUUGCAUGAAGUGACAGGAUUCUGAUAUUAUUUGUUUACUAAUGCAAUUGUACUUAUUCAUUUGAUUAAUUUGUUUGUUAAUUAGGUAUAUGGACAUACUUUCUACACCUAUCUUUGUGGGCUGUUUUAACAUAGAAUCAUGGAAUCAUAGAGUUGGAAAAGACCGCAUGGGCCAUCUAAUUCAACCCCCUGCCAUGCAGGAAAAGCACAAUCAAAGUACCCCUGACUGAUCUCCAUCCAGUCUCUGUUUAAAAGCUCCAAACAUGUUAAAUCAAAGCUUGACAUUGACAAACCAGAGACUGGGUCGAAAUGGGGCAAAGAAAAGAUUGCUGGAGAAAAGUUCUACAAAUGCCAUGGAUUGCUAAAAAGAUGAAUGAAUGGGUUUUAGAGCAAAUCAAGACUGAACUCCAACUAGAAGCAAAGAUGACUAAACUUAGGCUGCUGUACUAUGAGAUGAUAUGACUCACUGGGAAAGAUGAUAGUGCUUGGUAAAGUUGUGGGCAAUAAGAAGAGAAGGAACUUAUGCUCGAGGGUUUUUUUUUUUUUCAAUCUGUAAAGCCACGGUUUACGUUUUGUAAGAUCUUAACUGAGCUAUUACUAACAGGGCAUCUUAGAAGUUGCCCAUUCAUAGGAUCAACAUAAGUCAAAGUUAAUUUGAUGGAAAAAGUAAGAAGGAAAUAUGCAUAGUUGGGUCAUCUUAGUUAUUAUAAUAAUAAUAACUUUAUUUUUAUACCCCGCCUCCAUCUCUGCGCAGCGACUUGGGGCAGCUAACAUGGGGCCAAGUCCAGAUAAUCGCAAUAAAACAGGAUAAAAUACAUACAGAUCAAAACAAGCAUAAUCAACAAGAAAAAUAAAAUACUAUUUUAAACAGUAAUGUAGUGAUUAAAUAAAAACCACAAUAUAAGAGCAAAACAGCGAUUAAAAUAAUAAGAGAACUGGGCAAAAGUGCAAAGAGUGUAUAAUUAAAAACCUAGUGAGGUAGAUAAUAAAGUGCUGCAGUAUUAGUUGUGUAUCAGAGUGCAUGAUCAUGACGUAAGUCCAGUCCUACCUACUUUGGUCUAGUCCGAUGUUGGUUCACAUAAGCUUAGGGCAGUAUAAAGGACUUUAUACUCUGAAUCAGGGCAAGAGACUGAUUCACCAAAGUCAACCAGUUGCUAGCUACAGAAAAUCAAUGAAGUAAUUUCUCUAAUGCAGUGGUUCUCAACCUGUGGAUCCCCAGAUGUUUUGGCCUUCAACUCCCAGAAAUCCUAACACCUGGUAAACUGGCUGGGAUUUCUGGGAGUUGUAGGCCAAGACACCAGGGGACUCAUAGGUUGAGAACCACUGCUCCAAUAAAUUGGAGCUGCAGUACUCUGCAGUUCUCUCAGUCCAAAUCUUCCAUCCUUUUUCCAGAUGUUAUUGACCCCAUGGAGCGUAAUAAAUAGACAGUCAUUAAAAACAAAGAUAGCCAUGUUGGCCCCAAGAAGAAGACAAACAAAAUGUAUGUGGUGAUAUUAAAGGCAUCCUCUUUC